GCGUGUGUGUGUGUGUGUGUGUGUGUGUGUGUACCACAACCUGCCCGGCCACACAUGCUCCAGCCCG
rnacentral:miRNA from 1 species